ensembl:lncRNA
AGCGAGUGAAACAGAGACAGAGAAAGGCGAUCAUUUGGUAGUAGUUCUAGAUACUGAUUGGCUCUUGCGGUACAUGUGACAACUGUCCUCAUCUGCAUAUGGACAGGUACGCUAUGGUGAGCGGGGUAGAGAAGUUACCGGGCUGGCACCGUGUGAAUGGAGUUAAAGAUCGUCGAGAAGUCUCCUAAGUAGCCCUAGGACAUCGUUAGUCUACAGCAAGAGGACUACUGUUUCAUACCGCCCCUUGACUUCGGAAAAUAGCUCAUUGUAAUCAACAGGACUAAAUGGUCUUCACACAGUUCGCAACGAGCCAGGCGGCCCAAACUGCUGCAUAUACCCUGACUGCCUACACAGAACGCAGGAUAAGUGACACAAUUUCCCUAGUUAAAAUAAAUUAAUGUUAGCAGGCAAUAUUAACUAAAUAUGCAGGUUUAAAAAUAUAUACUUGUGUAUUGAUUUUAAGAAAGGCAUUGAUGUUUAUUGUUAGGUAUAUUUAGGUAUACUUUUUUUCGCAAAUGCUCUUGUUAAUAAAUUAUCACCCGUUUGGUGAAGUAGGCUGUGAUUCGAUGAUAAAUGAACAGGCACCACAUUGAUUAUAUGCAACGCAGGACAAGCUAGAUAAACUAGUAAUAUCAUCAACCAUGUGUAGUUAACUAGUGAUUUAUGUUAACAUUACCUUGGCUCCUAGCUGCCCUCGCGUAACAGGUGGUCAGCCUGCCAUGCAGCCUCCUCGUGGAGAGCAAUGUAAUGGGUGUCUAAAAAUGUUGAUUACAGCCCUAAUUAAUGGGCCGACCUCUAGUCUCUGGACCCAGUUUAGAGACACUGUUUCAGACUGUAUCUGGACCUGGUUUAGAGACACUGUUUUAGACUGUAUCUGGACCAGGUUUAGAGACACUGUUUUAGACUGUACCUGGUUUAGAGACACUUUCUGGACCUGGUUUAGAGACACUGUUUUAGACUGUCUCUGGACCUGGUUUAGAGACACUGUUUCAGACUGUAUCUGGACCUGGUUUAGAGACACUGUUUUAGACUGUAUCUGGACCAGGUUUAGAGACACUGUUUUAGACUGUAUCUGGACCAGGUUUAGAGACACUGUUUUAGACUGUAUCUGGACCCGGUUUAGAGACGUUGUUUCAGACUGUAUCUGGACCCGGUUUAGAGACGUUGUUUCAGACUGUCUCUGGACACUUUUGACAUUGCAGCCGACUGUCGAGACUGACCAAUCUACAAAUCACCUUGGAUCACAAAUAACUACUCAAUAUUAUUUGUAGAUCAGUCAGUCGGUCAGAAUUGACCCAUGAUACAUUGCGGUUUGGAUCGAACACAGCCAUAGUUUCUAUGCUGAUGUGUUCCGUAGACUUGGACAGACACACUGCCUCAAAGGGGCUGAAUUCACCGGCCUGGCUCAUGGCUGCUCUCCUACACUCUCUCUCUAGAGACAGGCACCCCUCACUGGCAGUCUGGCUGCUGUGUCCCCAUUGGUCCAGAUGUGAGAGCAGAGACCAGCAGUGUCUCCUCUAACCCUCAGGGCCCGUCGUCAUGGAAAUGGUGUUGUCGUUACCAAGGCCGUCGUGGGGGUUGUGGUCUGUGUUAGUCCCAGGCCUGGCCCUACUGCUGUGCCUGGCCCUGGUCCUGAUGGGCUGUGUGAUCAGGAAGAAGAGAAGGAUGGAGGGAAUGUAUCGGCCCAGUGCGGAGGAGAGCAAACAGACCGGACCACGGGGGGCUGAGAGACCAGGCCUGCCCCUGCCCAAGGAGGAGAGACUCAUCUGAUACAUGCACUUUAGCCUGGACGCUACACACACUCUCUUUUCCUUCUCUCUCUCUCUCACUACCAUUGCCUCACUGUCCUCUACCCUGUACAUGAAGCCAGAACGGGUUAUUAGUGGUUAUGUGUUGUGUAAAGUUAUCUGUGGAUGGAGUGUCUUGUUAAAUAUGCCUGAACAUGCCUGGUGGAUGUGCCAUGUUCUCUCCAGUUUCUCCAACUGUGCUGAUGUUGACAUCAGUGUGUCAACAGGUGAAUGCUGAAUGCCCUGUCAGGGGUGUGUUGUUCACCUGUAGGUGGACUAGUUGUUGACAUGAUUACCUGUAGGUGGACUAGUUGUUGAUCAUACAGAGAAAAGGGAAUUUUAAAAGUUCCUCUAUAUGCAAAAUGUCUCUUUAUUAUGGCAGUUAUACUGUUACAUGUGAACCAACUAUGAUUUAGGUGUAUCCCGUGUAUAAAGCAUUAGUGUGUGUGUGUGUGUGUGUGUGUUUUAUAUCUUGAAAAUGAAGAGAAGAAUGGUAAGACACUAUGAAUGAUUUCUAAUGCACUUCUGAUGAUAUUAACCAUGUGAAAACAAUAAAACUCCUCUCAAAAAGUAUAAAACGUCCAUUUAUUCAGUGCAUUGAGUUAAUCUGUUCAUGUUCCACAAGCUCCACCUGCUGGUCAUCUAAGGACAAUACAACCAGCGACAUCAGUCAGAGGGAUUGGACAGAACUGGUUCCUGAAUGUCAUGUGACAUGAUCAGUGGGUUAUUCAACUGUGGUGUGAAGUACUUAAGUAAAAAUACGUUCAAGUACUACUUAAGGUUUUUUUUUUUUUUGGUAUCAAAACAUUACUUUACUAUUUUUGACAACUUUUACUUCACUACAUUCUUUAUGAAAAUAAUGUACUUUUUACUCCAUACAUUUUCCC